rnacentral:rRNA from 1 species
CCUACGGGAGGCAGCAGUGGGGAAUAUUGCGCAAUGGGCGAAAGCCUGACGCAGCGACGCCGCGUGAGGGAUGAAGGCCUUCGGGUUGUAAACCUCUUUCAGCAGGGACGAAGCGCAAGUGACGGUACCUGCAGAAGAAGCACCGGCCAACUACGUGCCAGCAGCCGCGGUAAUACGUAGGGUGCAAGCGUUGUCCGGAAUUAUUGGGCGUAAAGAGCUCGUAGGCGGCCUGUCGCGUCGGCUGUGAAAACUCAGGGCUCAACCCCGAGCCUGCAGUCGAUACGGGCAGGCUAGAGUCCGGCAGGGGAGACUGGAAUUCCUGGUGUAGCGGUGAAAUGCGCAGAUAUCAGGAGGAACACCGGUGGCGAAGGCGGGUCUCUGGGCCGGAACUGACGCUGAGGAGCGAAAGCGUGGGGAGCGAACAGGAUUAGAUACCCUGGUAGUCCACGCCGUAAACGUUGGGCGCUAGGUGUGGGGAACCUUCCACGUUCUCCGUGCCGCAGCUAACGCAUUAAGCGCCCCGCCUGGGGAGUACGGCCGCAAGGCUAAAACUCAAAGAGAGUGCGUGNGAGAGCGACCGACGACGACGACGGAGGAGGAG